AUGUGUAGGAUAGGUGGGAGGCUUUGAAGUGUGGACGCCAGUCUGCAUGGAGCCGACCUUGAAAUACCACCCUUUAAUGUUUGAUGUUCUAACGUGGACCCGUAAUCCGGGUUGCGGACAGUGUCUGGUGGGUAGUUUGACUGGGGCGGUCUCCUCCUAAAGAGUAACGGAGGAGCACGAAGGUUGGCUAAUCCUGGUCGGACAUCAGGAGGUUAGUGCAAUGGCAUAAGCCAGCUUGACUGCGAGCGUGACGGCGCGAGCAGGUGCGAAAGCAGGUCAUAGUGAUCCGGUGGUUCUGAAUGGAAGGGCCAUCGCUCAACGGAUAAAAGGUACUCCGGGGAUAACAGGCUGAUACCGCCCAAGAGUUCAUAUCGACGGCGGUGUUUGGCACCUCGAUGUCGGCUCAUCACAUCCUGGGGCUGAAGUAGGUCCCAAGGGUAUGGCUGUUCGCCAUUUAAAGUGGUACGCGAGCUGGGUUUAGAACGUCGUGAGACAGUUCGGUCCCUAUCUGCCGUGGGCGCUGGAGAACUGAGGGGGGCUGCUCCUAGUACGAGAGGACCGGAGUGGACGCAUCACUGGUGUUCGGGUUGUCAUGCCAAUGGCACUGCCCGGUAGCUAAAUGCGGAAGAGAUAAGUGCUGAAAGCAUCUAAGCACGAAACUUGCCCCGAGAUGAGUUCUCCCUGAGACUUAGAGUCUCCUGAAGGAACGUUGAAGACGACGACGUUGAUAGGCCGGGUGUGUAAGCGCAGCGAUGCGUUGAGCUAACCGGUACUAAUGAACCGUGAGG
rnacentral:rRNA from 1 species